GAUGAACGCUGGCGGCGUGCCUAAUACAUGCCAGUCGAGCGAACGGACGAGAAGCUUGCUUCUCUGAUGUUAGCGGCGGACGGGUGAGUAACACGUGGAUAACCUACCUAUAAGACUGGGAUAACUUCGGGAAACCGGAGCUAAUACCGGAUGAUAUUUUGAACCGCAUGGUUCAAAAGUGAAAGACGGUCUUGCUGUCACUUAUAGAUGGAUCCGCGCUGCAUUAGCUAGUUGGUAAGAUAACGGCUUACCAAGGCAACGAUGCAUAGCCGACCUGAGAGGGUGAUCGGCCACACUGGAACUGAGACACGGUCCAGACUCCUACGGGAGGCAGCAGUAGGGAAUCUUCCGCAAUGGGCGAAAGCCUGACGGAGCAACGCCGCGUGAGUGAUGAAGGUCUUCGGAUCGUAAAACUCUGUUAUUAGGGAAGAACAUAUGUGUAAGUAACUGUGCACAUCUUGACGGUACCUAAUCAGAAAGCCACGGCUAACUACGUG
rnacentral:rRNA from 1 species